GAUGAACGCUGGCGGCGUGCCUAAUACAUGCAAGUCGAGCGAACAGACGAGGAGCUUGCUCCUCUGACGUUAGCGGCGGACGGGUGAGUAACACGUGGAUAACCUACCUAUAAGACUGGGAUAACUUCGGGAAACCGGAGCUAAUACCGGAUAAUAUAUUGAACCGCAUGGUUCAAUAGUGAAAGACGGUUUUGCUGUCACUUAUAGAUGGAUCCGCGCCGCAUUAGCUAGUUGGUAAGGUAACGGCUUACCAAGGCAACGAUGCGUAGCCGACCUGAGAGGGGGAUCGGCCACACUGGAACUGAGACACGGUCCAGACUCCUACGGGAGGCAGCAGUAGGGAAUCUUCGGCAAUGGGCGAAAGCCUGACGGAGCAACGCCGCGUGAGUGAUGAAGGUCUUCGGAUCGUAAAACUCUGUUAUUAGGGAAGAACAAAUGUGUAAGUAACUAUGCACGUCUUGACGGUACCUAAUCAGAAAGCCACGGCUAACUACGUG
rnacentral:rRNA from 1 species